rnacentral:rRNA from 1 species
UUAAAUUGAAGAGUUUGAUCAUGGCUCAGAUUGAACGCUGGCGGCAGGCCUAACACAUGCAAGUCGAGCGGAAACGAGUUAUCAGAACCUUCGGGGGACGAUAACGG